rnacentral:lncRNA from 1 species
GGGAAAGGAAGCCACAGUGUGGCCCAAAACUAACAAGUUGUUGUACAGCUUACAACCAUCUACCACUCACCUGCUCAUCGGGACCUCAAGCAUCCUUGGCAGAUCCCUUACUAACUUGAACAUGUCUCCAUAAGCACUGUUUCCAAGCCAGGACUCGUCCAUCAGCACAGGUAAACUUUUCUACUUUUGUUGAUAUGAGGUGGAAAUCCAGAAUAUUAACAGGACUGAAGAAUCUUUCCAGGACUCCUCAGAAAUAGGAACUAAGGAGAGAUCUAAGUAAGUAAAUGCCUAGCAAUGAAUCUCCAGAGCUCACACACACUUGUAAUUCUAGCCCUGGGAAGGCAGAGGUAGGCCAAUCUCUGGGCUCACUCCACAGAAAGUUUCCAAGUUCCAGGCCAAUGAGAAGCCAUAUCUCAAACAACAACAAAAAGUCAGAUGGAGCCUGAAGUACUACACCUGCAUAAAUCUAUACACAAAAAAGCAGCAGAAACAGAGAGGAGCAGCUGGGGCAACCAAUCCAGGAGCUGAAAGGCAAGUUCUAGACUCUAACUUUUCUCUUAGACUCAACAAACAGACUCACUAAACAGGGAAUUGAAAAUGUCCUUAAGGGGCUGGAGAGAUGGCUUAGUGGUCAAGAGCAUUGACUGCUCUUCCAGAGGUCCUGAAUUCAAAUCCCAGCAACCACAUGGUGGCUCACAACCAGCUGUACUGAGAUCUGAUUCCUUCGUCUGGUGUGUCUGAAGACAGCUACAGUGGACUGUAUGUACCUAGAGGCAUGUAAGAGUGAGUCUGUGACAUGUAAAUUGGAGACAGCCCAGGCUAGAGGAGGCUAGCUAUCCUAGAGAUGAGAAGUCACUAUGAAAGGCUAGUCAACAUAGAACUGAAUCUCACAGAAUAAAGCAGCUAACAUGGGUAAAGCGAUCACAUCAAGCUAUUCACCAUGAGACAAACACAUGCUAUUGCCUUCAUCUGCCUAGAUAGAUCAUGAAGGGUUGAGAAAGUAAACUCUGUCUUUAAUAAAAACAAAAACAAAGGCUUUCAUAAACCAAUAAGGCACUUGUUGUGUAAGCACAAGAACCUAUGUUGGAGCCUUAAAACUCACAUAAAAAAUGUCAGGUGUGGUAGCAUGUGGUAGCAUGAAUCCCAGUGCCGAGGAGACAAAAAGACUAUUUUGCCAAGUUCCAGCCUCCAGCACGGCAAAGGUGCCCUGGCUGGGGAGAGCAUUUAUAAAACCACAUUUAAUAAAAGAGAGUGUUAUAUUAA